rnacentral:tRNA from 1 species
GGAUAGGUAGCUCAGUUGGUUAGAGCAUUGUCCUGAUAUGCCAAUGUUGUGGGCUCAAUUCCUGGCCA